UAGGCUUGACAUCCCAAGAAGAUAGUAGAGAUACUGUUGUGUCUGCUUGCAGAAACUUGGUGACAGGUGCUGCACGGCUGUCGUCAGCUCGUGUCGUGAGAUGUUGGGUUAAGUCCCGCAACGAGCGCAACCCCUAUCCUUAGUUGCUAACAGUUGGGCUGAGCACUUUAAGGAGACUGCCUGGGCAACCAGGAGGAAGGUGGGGACGACGUCAAGUCAUCAUGGCCCUUAUGCCUAGGGCGACACACGUGCUACAAUGGAUAGGAUAAAAAGAAGCGAUACGGUGACGUGGAGCAAAUCUCAAAACCUAUUCUCAGUUCGGAUUGUAGUCUGCAACUCGACUACAUGAAGUUGGAAUCGCUAGUAAUCGUGGAUCAGCCAUGCCACGGUGAAUACGUUCCGCGGGUCU
rnacentral:rRNA from 1 species